GAUGAACGCUGGCGGCGUGCCUAAUACAUGCAAGUCGAGCGAACGGACGAGAAGCUUGCUUCUCUGAUGUUAGUGGCGGACGGGUGAGUAACACGUGGAUAACCUACCUAUAAGACUGGGAUAACUUCGGGAAACCGGAGCUAAUACCGGAUAAUAUUUUGAACCGCAUGGUUCAAAAGUGAAAGACGGUCUUGCUGUCACUUAUAGAUGGAUCCGCGCUGCAUUAGCUAGUUGGUAAGGUAACGGCUUACCAAGGCAACGAUGCAUAGCCGACCUGAGAGGGUGAUCGGCCACACUGGAACUGAGACACGGUCCAGACUCCUACGGGAGGCAGCAGUAGGGAAUCUUCCGCAAAGGGCGAAAGCCUGACGGAGCAACGCCGCGUGAGUGAUGAAGGUCUUCGGAUCGUAAAACUCUGUUAUUAGGGAAGAACAUAUGUGUAAGUAACUGUGCACAUCUUGACGGUACCUAAUCAGAAAGCCACGGCUAACUACGUG
rnacentral:rRNA from 1 species